GACACUACAAGAAGAUAAGCUCUU
rnacentral:snRNA from 1 species